GUGAACGCUGGCGGUAGGCCUAACACAUGCAAGUCGAACGGCAGCACAGUAAGAGCUUGCUCUUACGGGUGGCGAGUGGCGGACGGGUGAGGAAUACAUCGGAAUCUACUUUUUCGUGGGGGAUAACGUAGGGAAACUUACGCUAAUACCGCAUACGACCUACGGGUGAAAGCAGGGGAUCUUCGGACCUUGCGCGAUUGAAUGAGCCGAUGUCGGAUUAGCUAGUUGGCGGGGUAAAGGCCCACCAAGGCGACGAUCCGUAGCUGGUCUGAGAGGAUGAUCAGCCACACUGGAACUGAGACACGGUCCAGACUCCUACGGGAGGCAGCAGUGGUGAAUAUUGGACAAUGGGCGCAAGCCUGAUCCAGCCAUACCGCGUGGGUGAAGAAGGCCUUCGGGUUGUAAAGCCCUUUUGUUGGGAAAGAAAAGCAGCAGGUUAAUACCCCGCUGUUCUGACGGUACCCAAAGAAUAAGCACCGGCUAACUUCGUG
rnacentral:rRNA from 1 species